UACGUAGGGUGCGAGCGUUGUCCGGAAUUAUUGGGCGUAAAGAGCUCGUAGGCGGUCUGUCGCGUCGGUCGUGAAAACUUGGGGCUUAACCCUGAGCUUGCGGUCGAUACGGGCAUGACUGGAGUUCGGCAGGGGAGACUGGAAUUCCUGGUGUAGCGGUGAAAUGCGCAGAUAUCAGGAGGAACACCGGUGGCGAAGGCAGCUCGCUGGAACGGUACUGACGCUGAGGCGCGAAAGCGUGGGGAGCGAACAGG
rnacentral:rRNA from 1 species